rnacentral:rRNA from 1 species
AGAGUUUGAUCCUGGCUCAGGACGAACGCUGGCGGCGUGCUUAACACAUGCAAGUCGAACGGAAAGGCCUCUUCGGAGGUACUCGAGUGGCGAACGGGUGAGUAACACGUGGGCAAUCUGCCCUGCACCUCGGGAUAAGCCUGGGAAACUGGGUCUAAUACCGGAUAGGACCUCAAGACGCAUGUCUUCUGGUGGAAAGCUUUUGCGGUGUGGGAUGGGCCCGCGGCCUAUCAGCUUGUUGGUGGGGUGACGGCCUACCAAGGCGACGACGGGUAGCCGGCCUGAGAGGGUGUCCGGCCACACUGGGACUGAGAUACGGCCCAGACUCCUACGGGAGGCAGCAGAAGGG